UGCUGAGUGACUUGUCUUUUAAUUUGAUUGACCUCGAUACGUUGCUCUCGAAUAAUGAGAACCUGACGCACGAGGAACAGUGCUGUCCAACAUUCCCAGUUUUUGGUUGGUGACUUCACUGUCGGGACUCACACAAUAUCUGCCUAUAGCCCUGCUGCAGCAGCAGCAGCAACAAAAGCAGGUUUUCAAUAUACAGAUAUGCAACUGGAGUGAUGAUAUGCCCUGAAGAUAUUUAUUAAUUAUACCCCCUGUUAAUUGGGGUAUAAUGGAAUCCCCUUGGACGGACGUCUAUCUGUCUGUCUUUCCAUCUGUCUGUGGGCGAUCACUUAACGAUUCAACGUUCAGCUUUCAAACUUUCAGGACCCCAUACAAUCACAGUUUGGUACUCAGCAGAAUUACAGGCUCUCUGGUGAGCUGGAGCUGGACGCCCAAGGACAAUUCCCGAGUAUAGGCGUCGAGCUCCUGGGCCAGGAAUUGCGGGCAAAGCUCAACGAGUCCUACCCCCAGGGUACAGCCACUCUAACCUUGGGGCUCCACAUUUCCCUGCUCAGGGGCAGAGAUUAUCUCAUCUACAAGGGUCCUUAUCCUCACAAGUUCAGGCCCAGGAAACCAUGCUUCUCAACUGCACCCAGCCACUACAUCUCAACAAUAUCUGUCAGUUGGAGGGAGAAAGAAAGAGAUGUUUAAAUAGCAAAACAUGCACACAUUGCUGCUUCAGCCUCAAUAUGAAUUGCAGCGGCAGCAGCAGAAGCAACAAAGCUCACAAUUCAACAAUAAACAGUUCCAUUGACGAGCGCUUUUAAAUGACAUCAUGUCAAUGAACAAGACACCCUUCCCUGAAAACCUCGCAGAUCUAAUGAACAGUGCAACUGCGCCAUAUGUGACCCUUUAGAGAAUGGAAUUACUGGCCAAAUAUCUAAUCGGUGCCAAUCUGGGCUCCAGAAGCAGCCUCAGCCAUGGGGGACAGGUUUAUGAAGCACCCUGAACUUCUCAAUCUCACAGCAACAGUAGAUCAACAUGACCUCCAGCUGCAGCCUCAGCCGUGGGGGACAGGUUUAUGAAGCAAUCUGGGCUCCAGCAGCAGCCUCAGCCGUGGGGGACAGGUUUAUGAAGCAUCCUGAUCUUCUCAAUCUCACAGCAACAGUAGAUCAACAUGACCUGAAAGGUGGGAAUAAGAACUAAUGAUAAUUAAACCCCACACACCAAGUUUUGGAGAUAGUUUAUUGGAGUCAAUGUCUCGGUUCGUGUUCAGUGUCUAACAGUAUUCUAAUGACCAAGCCACGUCAGCAAAGCAGCAAUAACAGCAGUCAAGUCGAGGAUCACCCAUAACUACUUGGUGCCUAGCGAUGAUUUUUCUGCUACCAACUUGACCUGAUUAUUGUACUCACGUGGGAGUCAGGUUUAAGGUCACAUAAGUUAACAACAUGACUGCACAAUAUGGCAUCAAUGGCAAAGAAGAAGUGAUCAGAGGGGGUUAUAACGUGCAAGUCAAGAAGGCGACGUCCAUGACGAGACUGAAAACCCUGAUUGCAAAAUGCAGAGUCUGCUCCAGAUGCAUUUGCAGACACAGAACAUGAACGGCUGCAGUCAUUGUCUUCAUGUUAUAUCAUCUCUAUGGUGCAGGACCCUCAGUCUGUGUACACAGGGAACCUUCGACGCCAAUGACGAAAUCAAACCAUCCAAUCAGAAACACAUCCUGUUGCAGCAGUUAUUACCAUAUUGACCCCAGUCAAAAAAAGAAGCUCAGAGAUAAAUACUGUUUAUGGUGUUCUAGUCUUUACAUACCUUGUGGUAUGUUGAGCACGUACUCUUGACAGGUUUCAUCUUAUAAUUGUUUGACUGGUGGAAAAUAAAUGACCUUGUUCAAGUCGAAAUGUCAGAAUAACAAUUCAUAAUUCAAAUGCCAAAAAGUCAUAUCAACAGCCACAUUUGUUAUGUGACCAGCAAAGUUGAAUUCAAAGAGACACAAUAGUUUUCUUUAUAUUUUGUUGUGACCAACCAAGUUGUAUUUAAUGAAAAACAAUAGUUUAUGUUUUAUGGGAAUUAUGAUGCUGUCAGUCAUGUUAUGUUGGACGUUUUAGUUAAAUAUAGUAUGUUACAAAAUGUAUUAUUUGAAGCACACAUAUUGCAGGUAUAUCCAAUGUCUGUGUUUGUAUUAUGAACCUUUCACUUCAGAUUUUGAUCCGGAUAUGGUAAAUUUAAGGGAAAUACACUUAAACACCGUUAUUUCGAACACCGAUAAUCCAAAGUCACCGUUAUUUCAAGGUAUUGUUUGGGUCCUGAUUGUGGUUCUUCUUUGUUCAAUGUAAAAUUUCAUUGUUAAUCCGAACUUCGUUUAACCGAAGAAAUCGUUAAUUCGAAGUGUUUAUGUCGGUCCCAACACUAUAUUUCGCACCUUAUUAUCAAUCUUUAAUCCGAAGUCAAAACUGCAAAACACUGAGCGUAAUUUCACACCUAUUUUGUCUGCGCGUUGUGCGUCGAAGCUGAUAAUUACACCUUUGUCGCCUGCGCGUAGCAUGUUAAUUUUAUAAUGUCGUCAAAAGCCGACGACGAGGCCGACAACACAUUAAUGAACAUGAUAUUGAAUCAACGUGUGACCACAUGCAGCAACGAUGUAAGGCAGUUCUGCGAGCAAAACACGGACGGAAGCCAGUUCUUCAAUUUCCUUGACACAAUGGAGAAAUAUGUUACACGCGUCCAGUUUAGUGCUGCUUACACCAGUGUUCAGAAAGACAUCGCGUCUUAUUUUUAGAAAAGUUUAUUCAUUUCCGAAAAUGUAUUCAUAUGUAUUUACAUGUAUGAUGCGCUAUGCAUUAUAUUUUAUAUGUUCUGUAAUUAGAAAAAAAUAAAAAGAAGAAAAAGAAUCGUUUUAUUCCUCCGUUUGUUACAAGUAGAAAUCUAUUGCUAUCUGACUAUUUUACGUUUUUAAGUAAAAGAAUUAUUAAAAGUACAGUAUGACCGAAACAUGCGAAUUCCACAAUGUU